rnacentral:rRNA from 1 species
UACGUAGGGUGCAAGCGUUAAUCGGAAUUACUGGGCGUAAAGCGUGCGCAGGCGGUUAUACAAGACAGAUGUGAAAUCCCCGGGCUUAACCUGGGAACUGCAUUUGUGACUGUAUGGCUAGAAUCUGGCAGAGGGGGGUAGAAUUCCACGUGUAGCAGUGAAAUGCGUAGAUAUGUGGAGGAAUACCGAUGGCGAAGGCAGCCCCCUGGGCUAAGAUUGACGCUCAUGCACGAAAGCGUGGGGAG